UUGACGUGGCUUUAUUGACAUCCAUCAUCUGUAAGAAGGUUAGCAGGAUUUUGCAGGGCUUAAAGGAGGACUUUUGCUUUUUAUUCUUUUUGCUUCUGUAUUUUUACUUUUGUUACAGGGUCCUUAUUUAUUACCUAAAUAUCAGAUGAUACGAAGAAAUGUCAUUGUUGCUAAAUUAACACAAAGGGGCAAGUGUGUAUUUUGUAGCCGGUGACAUGGUAAGGGGGAGGUAUAAAAUAAAGGUGAAUUGACAAAUGAAUGUAAUAUCCGGGAAAGAACGUCCUCGUGGUGUGUGGGCAGGCAGACCACACGGGUGAAGGGCAGACCUCCUGAUGGCCGAGGUGAAGCGUCUGCGGGCACAACCAGCCCCUCGGAGCACUUCUGCCAAUAAUGUGCACAGCACGUGGUGCCAGAUGGCCUCAAACCAGGGUCCCCAGCAGGUGAGUGGAGCUAAUAAUGAGAAGUCAGGUGGGAGACACUUAGAAAUUCAGACCAACAGGCUGGUAGCAUCUGGAUCUGCCCCUGGGUAGCAGGGUGUGACCCCUGGGCUGAGAUUCAGCACAAGAAUUCAGAAGAGAGAAUUAAUCUCUGAAAUUGGAGUGCUUGAAAGCGUGUUAUUUGGCUCAAGAAGCUUAAGUGCAGCCGGAGGCAGCGCGCCAGGUCCCAGGUCCAGGAACUUGGAGGUUACCUGGGCUGGGGUUGGUUCAGGACCUCCUGCUUCGAGCAGCAUCUGCUUGGCUCUAGGAGCAGUGGUGUUGUUGGAAGGCUGGGCGCAGCUGCGGGACACGAGGGAGGGCUGGUAUAGACGAUGGGGAAGUCUGUGUUACCUAUUAAUCGGAGACCGGAAUCAGUUGACCGGCAUGGCUGUUGUGUUCAGAUUGUUUUGGAACUGACACAGGGCACCACGAUGGAGAGAAAGAUGAGGCAUAUUGUCAACGUGCUGGAACAUAGUAGACUCAUUUCCGUCACCGGCGUGGGCUGGGAGAGGCCACUUAAUCUGGGAGAGGCAAUUCCGCCAUCCGGAAAAGUUUUUCUGCUUUGGUGUCCUCAGUUCCACAAACAUUUGCUGUGGCUCCCCCGUGCCAUGUAUGGUGCGAGGGAAACACAGAAAUGAGGAAAGAGGGGCUCUGCCUGGGAGAAGUCACAGUCUAUCAGGAAGGAACAGGAGAACAAGGAAACGGUAACACAUGCUUCCGGGGCACCGAGCUUCGUGCUUGCUCCCUACCCACGAUCUCAUCAAAAGCUCAGCAGUGUGACGGGGCGGGUGUUACUGAUCUCCUUCUCGAAGAUGAGGCGAUGAAGGUCCAGAACGGGGUUAAGGUAAUCUGUCCAAGAUCACAACACUGGUAAGUGGUGAAGCAAUGAUUUGAACCCAAGUCUGUCUGACCCCAAAGCCCAUGAUCCUCCCAAUAUCCCCCCUGGCUGAGGGGAGAGAGCAAUUGACACACACACCAUUCACUUUCUGUGCAUGUUUGAUGCCCAGCAUCAGCAGAGCACAGGAAAGAGGCGGGGAAUGUGUCAGCCCGUUUGAAAGGCUGAUAUAUAUGGAGAAGAAAAGGGCAUUUAGGGAAAUCAGGCAGCGUGAUUUGUGUGAGAGGGCUUUUUUAGGCUGUGGACAGAAACUCAGGGUGUGAAAUCGCAAAGGUAAGCAUCUCAUCUUCUAGCCUUUCCCACUAAGGAGUCUGGGGCUGAGCAAACCAUGAGUACGGGUGUCAUCUGUCCCUUGGGAGGUGAGAGGGUGGCCUUAAUGGGACAGGAGGAGAAUCAAUAAUGUUAUCACUUAGAAGCGAGGAGACGGCUGACCGAGCACAAAAUGUCAGCAGCCUGACAAAGCAAAGACAGCCUUGGCCUGGGGCAACCGAUAUUGAUCAUAAUGAUCUCAAAGCAAUUAGCUCAUGGGUCUGCCUCCCAUUCAUUUUGCCUCCCUUUUCAAAAUGUGUAUAUUCAGGACCAUGAUGAACCAUUGCUCCCCGGAGAGCCAGCUCUGCUAUUUGGAAGGACAUCAAGAGUCGUACCCUCUGCCCUCAGCAGCUCAUCCCACAGGGUUUUCAGCCAGAGCAAGAAGGGGUUCUAGAAUGUCCGGGGCACCCAGGACCACAGGCAGGAUAAUGCAACCGGCAAACCACAUCAUAUGGAUUCUUUGCCGAGACCCCCCGGUAACGAAAAGACAGAAUAACAGGAG